rnacentral:rRNA from 1 species
UAUUAUAUACAAUUUAAUUUGUAUAAAAUUAAACUGUCUAUUCAACAACAAAUAUAUAAAUAGUUCGGAUUUAUUUCCGAGCUACUUCAUUCUCUUUUAUUAAGAGUUUGAUCCUAGCUCAGGAUGAACGCUGGCGGCGUGUUUAAGGCAUGCAAGUCGAACGAAGUACUCUCGCAAGAGAAUUACUAGUGGCAAACGGGUGAGUAACACAUUGGUAACCUACCUUCAAGACGGGGAUAGCUCGCCGAAAGGCGAAUUAAUACUCGAUGGUAAUGCGGGGACGCAAGUCAUUCGCAUUUAAAGAUUUAUCGCUUGAAGAGGGGCCUAUGUCUGAUUAGCUAGUUGGCGGAGUAAAAGCCCACCAAGGCUAUGAUCAGUAGCAGGCGUGAGAGCGUGACCUGCCUCACUGGGACUGAGACACUGCCCAGACAUCUACGGAUGGCGGCAAGAAUAUUCCUCAAUGGACGAAAGUCUGAAGGAGCGACGCCGCGUGUAGGAUGAAGGUCUUCGGAUUGUAAACUACUUUUAUGUGGGAAGAAUUUGUGACGGUACCACACGAAUAAGAGGUUGCUAACUCUGUGCCAGCAGCAGCGGUAAUACAGAGACCUCAAGCGUUAUCCGGAAUUAUUGGGCGUAAAGCGUCCGCAGGUGGUUUGGUAAGUCAGAAGUCAAAACUUCGCGCUCAACGUGAAGGUUGCUUUUGAAACUGCCAUUCUAGAGUAUGGGAGAGGAAAGCAGAAUUCUCGGUGUAGUCGUAAUAAGCGUUGAUAUCGAGAAGAAUACCAAAUGCGAAGGCAGCUUACUGGAACAUUACUGACACUCAUGGACGAAAGCGUGGGGAGCAAACAGGAUUAGAUACCCUGGUAGUCCACGCCCUAAACGAUGUGCACUAGGUAUUGGCAGUAUCGACCCUGUCAGUGCCGUUUCGCGUUAAGUGCACCGCCUGGGGAGUACGAUCGCAAGAUUAAAACUCAAAGGAAUAGACGGGGACCCGCACAAGCGGUGGAUUAUGUGGUUUAAUUCGAUAACAAACGGGGAACCUUACCUGGGCUCAACUACUAGCUGCAUAUGACCGGAAACGGACAUAGCCUUCGAGGGUGCUAGAUAGGUGCUGCAUGGUUGCCGUCAGCUCGUGCCGUGAGGUGUACCAUUAAGUUGGGAAACGAGCGCAACCCACGCCUUGUGUUAAAUGUACACAAGGGACCGCCCCGCACUCUGGACAUAAAUAUUUUGUGUCUAUAGUGUGGGGAGGAAGGAGUGGACGACGUCAAAUCAGCAUGGCUCUUACGUCCAGGGCUACACACAUAAUACAAUGGCCGGGACAACGGGUUGCGAAAUCGCGAGAUGGAGCUAAUCCUUCAAAACCGGCCCCAGUUCAGAUUGCAGGCUUCAA